CAACUUCUUUGUUCUGAAAUUAGUGGAAAACCGAAUUAGUGAGGUGCGUGCCCUUCUUUAUAAUGCUAUGCCUUUGUUUUCCAGAGAAACUAGGAGUCAUGACACUCAGAAGAACUGCCAGAACAUUUCUGUGUUUAAAACUAUCCACUUGAGGGUCAUUUGCAUUAGAAACCUUCCUGGAAAAGCACUGGGAUAGCCUAGAGCAUGACAAAUGAGCUUCAGGAUUCAGUUGCUCUUCCCUGUUCCAGCGGAGGAUUGUGAUCUCAGAGUAAUCUGGUAAAUGGAGAAUGGUCACAGAUUUAAGAGCUGUCAAGAAGGUAAGGUAACUCAACCUAUGGGCCC